rnacentral:rRNA from 1 species
CCUACGGGUGGCAGCAGUGAGGAAUAUUGGUCAAUGGGCGCGAGCCUGAACCAGCCAAGUAGCGUGAAGGAUGACUGCCCUACGGGUUGUAAACUUCUUUUAUAAAGGAAUAAAGUGAGGCACGUGAGCCUGUAUGUAUGUACUUUAAGAAUAAGGAACGGCUAACUCCGUGCCAGCAGCCGCGGUAAUACGGAGGAUCCGAGCGUUAUCCGGAUUUAUUGGGUUUAAAGGGAGCGUAGAUGGGUUGUUAAGUCAGUUGUGAAGGUUUGGGGCUCAACCGUAAAAUUGCAAUUGAUACUGGCAGUCUUGAGUACAGUGGAGGCAGGCGGAAUUCGUGGUGUAGCGGUGAAAUGCUUAGAUAUCACGAAGAACUCCGAUUGCGAAGGCAGCUUACUAAACUGCCACUGACAUUGAUGCUCGAAAGUGUGGGUAUCAAACAGGAUUAGAUACCCGGGUAGUC